rnacentral:lncRNA from 1 species
UGAUGAACUCCUUGGCCAUCUCGAUGUUGGACUGAACCGUCUGGCUUGCCUUCUUCUCGGGGCUGUACACGGUCAAGUCCACGUACGGAGCGCGGUACACCGGCAGGGGGGGCGGCCUAGUGAUGCUGUCAUCCGAGUCCAUCAGGUCCACUUCGUCCUUCUUGCCGCCAACAUCAUCACCGCCGUCCACCGCCCUGCCCUCAACACGAGCAGCGGCGCUGCCGCCGGCUGUAGCAGCACCGCCGCGCGCCGCUGACGUACCGGCGGCACCCGCGUCACCGCCGCCGCCAGCCCUCGCCGAAUGGUCGUCAACACUGCGUGAGCCCUGCACCUGGCUGCCUUGCAGGUCGCCGAGGCUCCGUCGCAGCUGCAGCUGCGGCUCCCCGACACACAGCUCUGCACCAGACGCUGAGGGCACCGCUGCGGCCUCCUGCAGCGUGUGGAAGGCGGCGGGGAGGUGGGAGUGAGGGCGUGAGGAGCGGCAGGAGAGAAGCCGUGAGGAAAUGCACGAAGGCAGGCACGAGAAGGUAGGCAUAAGCGAGGGCAGGUCGAAGGGAAGCACGGGCCAGGACACAUGCCAGCAGCGAAGCCGUGCAAGACCUGACGCUGUAUGAGUCCCGCCCGCCCUAAGGACAAUUGCAUCCAUUAGUAGCAGCCGCCCACAACGCACCUGCUGCCGGCUGCGGCCUUCACCACCACCCUUCUUGCCGCCAACAUCAUCACCGCCGUCCUCCGCCCUGCCCUCAACACGAGCAGCGUCGCGGCCGCCGGCUGUGGCAGCACCGCCGCGCGCCGCUGACGUACCGGCGGCACCCGCGCCACCGCCGCCGCCAGCCCCCGCCCAACGGUCGUCAUCGUCGCCUUCGGCAGGGCCACGCCCACGGGGAUGCAGCCAGCCUGCCGGUCCGCCCUGACGUUUGGGCGGCUGCCGGACUUCUCCGUCCUCCUCGGCCUCCGGCACGUCAGGCAAGCCGGCUUGCUGGCGGGCUUCUUUCUUCCUGCGGGCCUCCUGAUUCCGCAGGCGCUCCGAGAGGCGCGUUCCUUGGGAUGCCGCCACUUGCGACGUCGUGGGCUGCGCCUGUCCGUCAUGUGGGCCGCCGCAAGCCCCAGACACCGAGGGCGCCGCUGCGGCCGCCUGCAGCGUGUGGAAGGCGGGCGGGGAGGCGGGAGUGAGGGCGUGAGGAGCGGCAGGAGAGAAGUCGUGAGGAAAUGCACGAAGGCAGGCACGAAAAGGUAGGCACGAGCGAGGGCAGGUCGAAGGGAAGCACGGGCCAGGACACAUGCCAGCAGCGGAGCCGUGCAAGGCCUGACGCUGUAUGAGUCCCGCCCGUCCUAAGGACAAUUGCAUCCAUCAGUAGCAGCCGCCCACAACGCACCUGCUGCCGGCUGCGGCCUUCACCACCACCCUUCGUGGGCGGCUGCGGCCUGGCUGCAGCCUUCACCACCGCCCUAUGACCGCCGUCCGCCGCCCUGCCCUCAACACGAGGAGCGUCGCGGCCGCCGGCUGUGGCAGCGCGCGCUGCGGCCGCCUGCAGCGUGUGGAAGGCGGGCGGGGAGGCAGGAGUGAGAGCGUGAGGAGCGGCAGGAGAGAAGUCAUGUUGAAAAGUGUGAAGGCAGGCACGAGAAGGUAGGCAUAAGCGAGGGCAGGUCGAAGGGAAGCACGGGCCAAGACACAUGCCAGCAGCGAAGCCGUGCAAGACCUGACGCUGUACGAGUCCCGCCCGCCCUAAGGACAAUUGCAUCCAUUAGUAGCAGCCGCCCACAACGCACCUGCUGCCGGCUGCGGCCUUCACCACCACCCUUCUUGCCGCCAACAUCAUCACCGCCGUCCUCCCCCCUGCCCUCAACAUGAACAGCGUCGCGGCCGCCGGCUGUGGCAGCACCGCCGCGCGCCGCUGACGUACCGGCGGCACCCGCGCCACCGCCGCCGCCAGCCCUCGCGGAAUGGUCGUCAUCGUCGCCUUCGGCAGGGCCACGCCCACGGGGAUGCAGCCAGCCUGCCGGUCCGCCCUGACGUUUGGGCGACUGCCCGAUUUCUCCGUCCUCCUCGGCCUCCGGCACGUCAGGCAAGCCGGCUUGCUGGCGGGCUUCUUUCUUCCUGCGGGCCUCCUGAUUCCGCAGGCGCUCCGAGAGGCGCGUUCCUUGGGAUGCCGCCACUUGCGACGUCGUGGGCUGCGCCUGUCCGUCAUGUGGGCCGCCGCAAGCCCCAGACACCGAGGGCGCCGCUGCGGCCGCCUGCAGCGUGUGGAAGGCGGGCGGGGAGGCGGGAGUGAGGGCGUGAGGAGCGGCAGGAGAGAAGUCGUGAGGAAAUGCACGAGGCAGGCACGAAAAGGUAGGCAUAAGCGAGGGCAGGUCGAAGGGAAGCACGGGCCAAGACACAUGCCAGCAGCGAAGCCGUGCAAGACCUGACGCUGUAUGAGUCCCGCCCGCCCUAAGGACAAUUGCAUCCAUUAGUAGCAGCCGCCCACAACGCACCUGCUGCCGGCUGCGGCCUUCACCACCACCCUUCUUGCCGCCAACAUCAUCACCGCCGUCCUCCGCCCUGCCCUCAACAUGAACAGCGUCGCGGCCGCCGGCUGUGGCAGCACCGCCGCGCGCCGCUGACGUACCGGCGGCACCCGCGCCACCGCCGCCGCCAGCCCUCGCCGAAUGGUCGUAAACACUGCGUGACCCCUGCGCCUGGCUGCCUUGCAGGUCGCCGAGGCUCCGUCGCAGCUGCAGCUGCGGCUCCCCGACACACAGCUCUGCACCAGACGCUGAGGGCGCCGCUGCGGCCGCCUGCAGCGUGUGGAAGGCGGGCGGGGAGGCAGGAGUGAGGGCGUGAGGAGCGGCAGGAGAGAAGCCGUGAGGAAAUGCACGAAGGCAGGCACGAGAAGGUAGGCAUAAGCGAGGGCA